rnacentral:rRNA from 1 species
CCUACGGGCGGCAGCAGUAGGGAAUAUUGCGCAAUGGGCGAAAGCCUGACGCAGCAACGCCGCGUGAACGAGACGCCCCUCGGGGUGUAAAGUCCCGUUAGUGGGGACGAAAAAUGACGGUACCUGAAGAGGAAGCACCUGCUAACUCCGUGCCAGCAGCCGCGGUAAUACGGAGGGUGCAAGCGUUGUCCGGAAUCAUUGGGCGUAAAGAGUUCGUAGGCGGCAUGUAAAGUCAGGUGUUAAAGGCGCAGGCUCAACCUGUGUAUGGCACUUGAUACUUGCAAGCUGGAAUGCGGUAGUGGUAGAGGGAAUUCCUGGGGUAGCGGUGAAAUGCUUAGAUAGCAGGAGGAACAUCGGUGGCGUAAGCGCUUUACUGGGCCGUAAUUGACGCUGAGGAACGAAAGCCAGGGUAGCAAAUGGGAUUAGAUACCCUAGUAGUC